AGUUUCCUCUCAGCAGUCGUGGUGUGAAGACUCAACAAUUCUCUUGGCUCGCUCCUCAAUGAAAACUGAAACUGACUCGAGAAAGUUUUAACUUAUUCGGCAACAACCUCUGUGUUUCUUCGUCCUGUAAGAGAAGCUGAGUUACAGACACACUUCCUGAAAAUAAGAAAGCAUUUUCAUAAAUAGAAAGUCUGCAUUAGAAGCUACAUAAAGUUCUGCAAGACAACAUGCAUUAGAGUGAUCAAGUGACCGCCAGUACCAGUGUAAAGAAACUAUGAAGUAAGAAUAUUUAUCCACAGAGGAGACAGCCGUUACUGUUCGGGAAGACCCAGAGAGGGAUUUUAUUAUUGAGCCAAGAAAAACAAGAGUGGAGUGCGAUAGAAGCAUCCCGGUGUAGCAUAAGUGAAGCAGGGCGAUAAGAGUGACAAGUGCCGAGGAGAGGAAGUGUUCAGACUCAUGUGGCCAAGAUGCAGAGUGCUCUAAAUUGAUGGCAAGUGCUUUGGCGCCAAGAUCAUUUAGCCAAGCCAAGUCUCUCAGCGGACUGUGUAUAGCGUGUGCAUUUGUACUGUUUCUUCUCACAGUGGAAGACAGAAACAUUGGUGCAGCAGCUGUUACAAGUUGGCACCGCAACGACUAUGGUCUAGGGCAAGUCAGGAGCUUCGCUUUGAGGGAUUGCAGUUCCGGCAGAGAGGAGCAGCAGGACAGGCGCGCAGAUGGCUGGCGGCCCAGUGGCCUCGCCUCGCACACGUACGGAUAUAACCUCAUUAUUGUCUAGGAAAAAGUUCCCACCGUCUGUACGUACUUUACAUUCCCUGAUUACUUAAGGAUACAUCUUGGUCAUAUUCAAUUGAGUGGUACUCUCGGAACAAGUACAUUUAUGAUAUCUUAAAUAUGCACUUGCAUGGAAAGCGAGUCUGAGUUUUGACAGAUGCCUGACACGUGCUGCAGCAGCUGGCUCUGAGGCGAGGAAAACCACCUGCUCUCCACUCACGCCGCCGCCCCGCAGCAGGGAGGGAGGCCCCGGCGAGCACCACAGGUAGCAUUUGUCUUUGCCAGGUGACAGUAGCCUCAAGGGGCAGGUGUCAUCUCAUUAGUCAGUGUUAUUUUUUAUUAUCUAUUAAAUAAACAACAAAG